CCGGUAGCCAUGGUGCUAUUGAAGAUCUGCUUAGUUCUCUGUUUUCUUCACAACCAACAGUUGACAAUAAUGGGAAAAAUGCCUUUGAAUACGGCACUAAAUCCUCUCGCCAGCUCGCUUCUGUCUGAUACAAAUGUCACUUCAACAAGAGGUCUCCUCGUCUAGAUACAAACCGAAUUUUGAGGUAAUCGAGACAGUCAGUUGAAUGUCCUGCAAAAUCGAAAUCCUAGAUUUUAACGGUCAGAGUCAUCCGUCGCUUUC